AUUUGUCUAUAUCUUAGAUUCGUAGCUGGACACAUCCUUCUACACUGUAUGCAAACAUGCAACAUCAUAACACACAGUACAAGGAGUCAGACUGGCAUAUGAGGAGCAAAGGAACCCAGGCAGUAGCAUCGUUUCACAAUGUUUCCAUCAUCAUCAUCAGUGGAUGCCUUUGCCGUCCGUAGCCUGAGAUUUCAGAUUUGCAGCAAAAAAAAUUGAUUUUCUCAUUUAUUGGAAUGCUGUGCAGGUAUUUGUACCUUGCAGCCAUCCAUUACAAUGUCACCAAGCCGUAACAAAAGCAGGAGAGGGAAAGUACAAGGCUAUGUUCCCAAAACACAAAUGACAUACCUUAUGUGGAGGAUGUGAUCAGGCUUGUGUUUGAUGAGGUAUUUGAAGAUAAGCUGAAGGAAACCCCGAUUCCAAUGGACCUGGCAUCACAGUUUGAGAGACCUUCAAAGGAGGACGUGAUUGCAUGCCAUCUUCAGUG